rnacentral:rRNA from 1 species
CCCUUAGCCGUUCUGGGCCGCACGCGCGCUACACUGACGAAGGCAACGAGCUUUCCUUUACCGAAAGGUACGGGUAAUCUUUUGAAACUUCGUCGUGCUGGGGAUAGAUCCUUGCAAUUUUUGAUCUUAAACGAGGAAUUCCUAGUAAGCGCAAGUCAUCAACUUGCGUUGAUUACGUCCCUGCCCUUUGUACACACCGCCCGUCGCUACUACCGAUUGAAUGGUUUAGUGAGGCCUUCGGAUCCGCGACUCGUUUUGUGGAGAAGUUGGACAAACUCAGUCAUUUAGAGGAAGUAAAAGUCGUAACA